GACGAACGCUGGCGGCGUGCUUAACACAUGCAAGUCGAACGGAAAGGCACUGCUUUUGUGGGGUGCUCGAGUGGCGAACGGGUGUGUAACACGUGAGUAACCUGACCUUUAAUUUGGGAUAACCUCACGAAAGUAGAGCUACGACCGAAUAGGAGCUCCUGCUGCUUGGAGGGCGUUGGAACGUUUCGGUGGUUGGGGAUGGACUGGCGGCUUAUCAGCUUGUUGGUUGGGUAGUGGCUUACCAAGGCUUUGACGGGUCGCCUGCCCGAGAGGGUGACCGGCCCCAUUAGGACUGAGGUACGGCCCAGACUCGUAUGGGAGGCAGCAGUGGGGAGUGUUGUACAGUGAGCGGAAGCCUGAUGCAACGACGCCGCGUGGGGGAAGACGGCCUUCGGGUUGUAAACCGCUUUCGCCUGUGACGAAGCGUGAGUGACGGUACUGGAUGAAGAAGCACCGGCUAACUACGUG
rnacentral:rRNA from 1 species